GACGAACGCUGGCGGCGUGCCUAAUACAUGCCAGUUGAGCGCUGAAGGUUGGUACUUGACCCAACUGGAUGAGCAGCGAACGGGUGAGUAACGCGUGGGGAAUCUGCCUUUGAGCGGGGGACAACAUUUGGAAACGAAUGCUAAUACCGCAUAAAAACUUUAAACACAAGUUUUAAGUUUGAAAGAUGCAAUUGCAUCACUCAAAGAUGAUCCCGCGUUGUAUUAGCUAGUUGGUGAGGUAAAGGCUCACCAAGGCGAUGAUACAUAGCCGACCUGAGAGGGUGAUCGGCCACAUUGGGACUGAGACACGGCCCAAACUCCUACGGGAGGCAGCAGUAGGGAAUCUUCGGCAAUGGACGAAAGUCUGACCGAGCAACGCCGCGUGAGUGAAGAAGGUUUUCGGAUCGUAAAACUCUGUUGGUAGAGAAGAACGUUGGUGAGAGUGGAAAGCUCAUCAAGUGACGGUAACUACCCAGAAAGGGACGGCUAACUACGUG
rnacentral:rRNA from 1 species